UUUAUUGGGUUUAAAGGGAGCGUAGGCGGGCUAUUAAGUCAGCUGUGAAAUCCGGCGGCUCAACCGUCGGCCUGCAGUUGAUACUGGUGGUCUUGAGUGCGCGCAGGGGCGUUGGAAUUCAUGGUGUAGCGGUGAAAUGCUCAGAUAUCAUGAAGAACUCCGAUCGCGAAGGCAGAUGCCCGGAGCGCAACUGACGCUGAGGCUCGAAAGUGCGGGUAUCAAACAGGAUUAGAUACCCUGGUAGUCCGCACAGUAAACGAUGGAUACUCGCGGUUCGGCUUUAGAGCGGAGUCGCCAAGCGAAAGCGUUAAGUAUCCCACCUGGGGAGUACGCCGGCAACGGUGAAACUCAAAGGAAUUGACGGGGGCCCGCACAAGCGGAGGAACAUGUGGUUUAAUUCGAUGAUACGCGAGGAACCUUACCCGGGCUUGAACUGCGGCUGCAUAGACCAGAGAUGGUCUUUCCCUUCGGGGCUGCCGCGGAGGUGCUGCAUGGUUGUCGUCAGCUCGUGCCGUGAGGUGUCGGCUUAAGUGCCAUAACGAGCGCAACCCUUCUCCACGCUUGCCAUCGGGUAAUGCCGGGCACACCGUGGACACUGCCAUCGUAAGAUGCGAGGAAGGUGGGGAUGACGUCAAAUCAGCACGGCCCUUACGUCCGGGGCUACACACGUGUUACAAUGGCCGGUACAGAGGGAAGCCACCUGGCGACAGGGCGCGGAUCCCGAAAUCCGGUCUCAGUUCGGACUGGAGUCUGCAACCCGACUCCACGAAGCUGGAUUCGCUAGUAAUCGCGCAUCAGCCAUGG
rnacentral:rRNA from 1 species